rnacentral:rRNA from 1 species
CGCCUGUUUAUUAAAAACAUGGCUUGUUGAUUAUAAUUUCAGGUUUGACCUGCCCAAUGAGUAGUUUAAUGGCCGCGGUAUAUUGACCGUGCAAAGGUAGCAUAAUCAUUAGUUUUUUAAUUGAAAGCUUGAAUGAAAGGUUUGAUGAAAAAAUAUCUGUCUCUGGAAAAGUUAAUUAGAAUUUUAUUUUUAAGUGAAAAAGCUUAAAUGUGUAUGGAAGACGAGAAGACCCUAUAGAGUUUUAUAUUUUUAAGUAAAGAUUGGACUGAGGAGGAUAAGAGUUAGUUUUACUUAAGAGAUAUUUUGUUGGGGUGAUAGGAAAAUUGAAUGAACUUUUCUUUAAUGGAAACAUUGGUUUAUGAAUUUAUGAUCCUGAAUUUUAGAUUAGAAGAUUAAAUUACCUUAGGGAUAACAGCGUAAUUUUUUUUAGAGUUCUUAUCGAAAAAAAAGAUUGCGACCUCGAUGUUGGAUUAAAGUUAAUUGCUGGUGCAGAAGCUAGUAUAUUAGGUCUGUUCGACCUUUAAAAUUUUACAUGAUCUGAGUUUAAACCGGCGUGAGCCAGGUCGGUUUCUAUCUA